UACGAAGGGGGCUAGCGUUGCUCGGAAUCACUGGGCGUAAAGGGCGCGUAGGCGGCGUUUUUAAGUCGGGGGUGAAAGCCUGUGGCUCAACCACAGAAUGGCCUCGAUACUGGGACGCUUGAGUAUGGUAGAGGUUGGUGGAACUGCGAGUGUAGAGGUGAAAUUCGUAGAUAUUCGCAAGAACACCAGUGGCGAAGGCGGCUCACUGGCCCGGUACUGACGCUGAGGUGCGAAAGCGUGGGGAGCAAACAGG
rnacentral:rRNA from 1 species